UACGAAGGUCCCGAGCGUUAUCCGGAUUUAUUGGGUUUAAAGGGUGCGUAGGCGGGUUAUUAAGUCAGUGGUGAAAGCCUACAGCUUAACUGUAGAAUUGCCAUUGAUACUGAUGAUCUUGAGUAUGAUUGAGGUGGGCGGAAUGUGUCAUGUAGCGGUGAAAUGCUUAGAUAUGACACAGAACACCGAUUGCGAAGGCAGCUCACUAAGUCAUAACUGACGCUGAUGCACGAAAGCGUGGGGAGCGAACAGG
rnacentral:rRNA from 1 species